AAAAAGAUUGCACGACCCCCUAACACAAAACCAUCAUGAUCCCUCGCAAUAAUCCCAAUGCCUACAACUGAGUAAAAAACCGCCGCAUCGACAUUAAUCUUAAUGACUUCAUUCGGAGGCUUGGUCCACCUAUGGGACCUAAGGGCCUAGGGUUCAUCGGGGCAUGCGAUAAAUUAUGGAUCCUGAAAUCAUCCCCCAAAGUUCUCGCCUACUCCCAGACAACCUGAGUAUCAUCCUCCUUGCCCCAAAAUAUUCCAACUAAUACUUGGCUCUUGGAUCAGGGGGUUCAAUGUAGCUUGGCCUGCAAUCUUGUUCAGAAAUAAAACGCAUGCUCUUUUAAGAUGUGUUAAGGCUGCUGCUGUUUGGUGUUUAUGGGGGAAGCUAUGGAGUAUUACAUUAGGUUCUUAUCUGAACUAUUUCAUUGAUUUAUUAAGGAACUACGAGGUCGAUAUAUUGGAAGAAUUAUGUGCUAUUAGUUGGAAAUUAUGUCCUAAUUGCAAUUGAACUAUAGUUUUUUUUUUCCAAAUUAAACUGAAUUUUAGCCCUAUUUUCCCUAUUUCUUCUUCCUUUUCUUCUUCAUAUAUUUCUUUGCAAAUUAUUUUCUUUUCAUUGCUGAAACUAUUAUUUCUUUCCGAAUCAAAAUCUAUUCUUGGUUUAAGUCGUUUUUCAACCGAUUUCAUAAUCGCCAUUAGAAACGUUCUUAAUCCUAACUAAGAAUCGGUAACUAAGCUUCAAUCUCAAUACUUAUCUUGAAAUUCUACAAAAUUUCUGCCUAUUGAUAAUCUUACAAUCGAUAAAAAAAUCUUCCUCAAUUUUUUAUCGAAUCUUCCAUUAAUCUUGUUAAAAUCAUAAAAUCCAUUAUUAAUUAUUGCAUAAAUAUUGUUUGAUGGACCUAAUUUAGGUACCCCUGAUUUAGGUACCCCGGACUAGACUUGAAUGCAAGGAACGUCGGUCGAGAUCUCGAAGACAUGUGUAUGUUCUUUUACAAGUAAAUCGGGGCAAAAUCGUGCUUAGGGUAGGGCCAACGGGCAUUUGGGCCACACGUGUGGACCACACGACCAUGUCUCCUUUGAAACCUUAGGCUAGUUCUUGAACCACACGGCCAAGACCUCUCCACACGACUUGCUACAUAGUUGUGUCUCCCUUGAAGCUUAAUUUUGCAUUUUCCACACGGCCAUAGUCUGUCACAUGACCUAGCCACACAGCCGUGUAACCCCUCCACAUGGUUUAGGGUGUUUCACACGGUCCGGUCACACAGCCACGUGUCUCUUGUUUAUCAUAUUUUACAAUUUUACCCCAAAAUUUUAUGAUUUGUUCAAUUUAGUCACUGAAUGGUUUCCAAACUAUUUUAAUAAUUUAUUUAAUUAAGUCCCUGAUAAUUAGAACCCAUAAUCUGAUUAACUGAAUUACUAUAAUAUUUAUAUAUUUGCAUAAAUAGUGAAAAAUACAUAUGUUUAUUUAUCUGUUUUUUUAUUGAUCGUAAAACAUGCCUUAUGUUGUCGUUAAAUCAAACUCAUGAAAAACAUGACUAUUGCUUCUAAAUUGCUAUGUUAUAAGCAUAUUAAUUGCUACCAUAAUGAUUUGUAUUAAGUAUGCCACAUUGCAUUGCAUGGGGUGAGACGAUGUGAACGGAGGAAGUUUGACAGUUUAUCUGCUGAAAUAUUUGUUGUGUAUUCAUAGCUAAAGGCAGAUUCCAUCUACGAGUACUUGUGUAUUCACAGCUAGAGGCAAAUUCUAUCUGUGGAUUUUUUGCUGUGUAAAUCACAGUCAUAGGCAGAUUUCAUCUGUGAGACAUUUGUUCUGUACCCCCAACUAGAGGCAGGUUCCAUCUGUGGGGAUCUUUGUUGUGUGUCAACAACCAUUGACAGUUUAUAUGCAAACCAGUAGUGGCUAAGACACAACCCGGUGUGUUGGAGGUUGGAGUUUGGGGGAACUCCUAUUGUGGUGUAUAGCGAUUGGGUAGGAUAUUUUCUAUUAAAACAGAAAUUGUAUGACAUCUAUGAAAACAUAUGCAUACAAAACUGGAAAUUCUGAGAUGACUUAUAUACAUAUAUAUAUGGUUGAGGAAUCAACAUUUUGAAAUUUCUAUUGUGAGUUUUUUGAUCUUAACGAUGGUUAAAUUGAAAAAUUGAUACUCUGAACUAUUGUUUGAUUGUGAUUAUUUUAUGUGAUAUUAUUUAAUAUGUCCUACCGACUGUUUGUACUAAUUUUCUUAUGAUUUAACUCACACUGAGCGUCAUAACUCACUCCCCCUUAUAUUUUCAUCAUUACAGGUAACUCACCAGGUUAGGACGCAGACGCGACAUCCAAAGGGUUUGGGCUUGGCUUAUUUACUAUAAUAUUUUUACUUAUUAUUUGAUAUUUUAUCAUUCAGAAAUUGUAUUAUUUUAUUUCAAACAGUGGCAAUAGGCAUUAGGAUGGUUGUUUUUAUUUAUAGCUUGCAUGACAUUUGAUUUAAUUUUAGGAUAUCUAAUUAUGAUUACUAAAUAGUAUAGUAUACACGAACCACAGUUUUUAUUAAAAUAAUAAGCAUACAUCACUUUUCC
rnacentral:lncRNA from 1 species